rnacentral:rRNA from 1 species
GCUAUACAUGCAAGUCGAGCGAAUGGAUUAAGAGCUUGCUCUUAUGAAGUUAGCGGCGGACGGGUGAGUAACACGUGGGUAACCUGCCCAUAAGACUGGGAUAACUCCGGGAAACCGGGGCUAAUACCGGAUAACAUUUUGAACUGCAUGGUUCGAAAUUGAAAGGCGGCUUCGGCUGUCACUUAUGGAUGGACCCGCGUCGCAUUAGCUAGUUGGUGAGGUAACGGCUCACCAAGGCAACGAUGCGUAGCCGACCUGAGAGGGUGAUCGGCCACACUGGGACUGAGACACGGCCCAGACUCCUACGGGAGGCAGCAGUAGGGAAUCUUCCGCAAUGGACGAAAGUCUGACGGAGCAACGCCGCGUGAGUGAUGAAGGCUUUCGGGUCGUAAAACUCUGUUGUUAGGGAAGAACAAGUGCUAGUUGAAUAAGCUGGCACCUUGACGGUACCUAACCAGAAAGCCACGGCUAACUACGUGCCAGCAGCCGCGGUAAUACGUAGGUGGCAAGCGUUAUCCGGAAUUAUUGGGCGUAAAGCGCGCGCAGGUGGUUUCUUAAGUCUGAUGUGAAAGCCCACGGCUCAACCGUGGAGGGUCAUUGGAAACUGGGAGACUUGAGUGCAGAAGAGGAAAGUGGAAUUCCAUGUGUAGCGGUGAAAUGCGUAGAGAUAUG